rnacentral:rRNA from 1 species
CCUACGGGAGGCAGCAGUGAGGAAUAUUGGUCAAUGGACGAGAGUCUGAACCAGCCAAGUAGCGUGAAGGAUGACUGCCCUAUGGGUUGUAAACUUCUUUUAUAUGGGAAUAAAAUGUUCCACGUGUGGGAUUUUGUAUGUACCAUAUGAAUAAGGAUCGGCUAACUCCGUGCCAGCAGCCGCGGUAAUACGGAGGAUCCGAGCGUUAUCCGGAUUUAUUGGGUUUAAAGGUAGCGUAGGUGGAUUGUUAAGUCAGUUGUGAAAGUUUGAGGCUCAACCGUAAAAUUGCAGUUGAAACUGACAGUCUUGAGUACAGUAGAGGUGGGCGGAAUUCGUGGUGUAGCGGUGAAAUGCUUAGAUAUCACGAAGAACUCCGAUUGCGAAGGCAGUUCACUGGACUGCAACUGACACUGAGGCUCGAAAGUGUGGGUAUCAAACAGGAUUAGAUACCCGUGUAGUC